rnacentral:rRNA from 1 species
GAUGAACGCUAGCUACAGGCUUAACACAUGCAAGUCGAGGGGCAGCAUUACGGUAGCUUGCUACUGUAGAUGGCGACCGGCGCACGGGUGAGUAACGCGUAUCCAACCUACCCAUGACUUGGGGGAUAACCUUGCGAAAGCAAGCCUAAUACCCGAUACGCUUCAUAGAUGGCAUCUGAAAUGAAGUAAAGGUUUACGGUUAUGGAUGGGGAUGCGUCCGAUUAGCUUGUUGGCGGGGUAACGGCCCACCAAGGCAUCGAUCGGUAGGGGUUCUGAGAGGAAGGUCCCCCACAUUGGAACUGAGACACGGUCCAAACUCCUACGGGAGGCAGCAGUGAGGAAUAUUGGUCAAUGGAGGCAACUCUGAACCAGCCAAGUAGCGUGCAGGAUGACGGCCCUAUGGGUUGUAAACUGUCUUUUAUGCGGGGAUAAAUUGACUCACGUGUGGGUUAUUGCAGGUACCGCAUGAAUAAGGACCGGCUAAUUCCGUG